CCUCUUACCAGUCUUUGCUGGUAAAGUCGAUUCCCAGUAGGAUGUUCUCCUCUGUGUCUUGUCGCCCGCUGGUGUACACCACCACCAUGUACCGCACUCGAUCUGACCACGCACUCUCGAGCCGCACCGCCUGCACACAACACCGACAGUUUAUUUCAAACACCACAACUUCUGCUGUCCGAUAUUACAACCAGUAAACUUCUGUUCACAAUACCCUCAUGCAUGUCGUAAGUGCCAACAUGAGGAGUCAUGACAAAGUGACGCAGGGCGCUGCUCUUGGAGCGACCGGCAGCAGGUGACUGUCUGUAACUCAGGCCAUCAAAAGACUGAACUCCAAUGACGACAGACGUGUUUUAUUUUGUUUAAAUGAUGGUUUUAUGGACAUUUUUUUUUAUACAUUCUCUGUUUCCUGUUGCAGUGUAAUGUUGUCUGGGUUUUUCAUGUUUCUUGUUUUCACCUUACUGCAAAAAAAAAAGUCCCCUCUGGGACAAUAAAGUUGAGGUUGACAACAAAAAACUGCAACGCUGUCCUGUUCAACUGUCCAUUUACAGACAUUAUGACACAAACUGUCCCAGCUUCACAAACCUCAAUUUCGUUGACUUGCAAUGAUUGAUUUCCUCGGGUAAAAUGAACCUGAUUGUCCAGCCGGGUCACAGCGAGUUGAGAGAAGUUCUCAUUUACCUUAUGUACCCUCUCCAGUAAAGUGAGCACAUGGGGGGGACACACAAGGUAACACAAACAAUCAGGGCCUCCUCUAAUAGUCCACUCAAGUUUUGCUCACGGUGCAGCCAUGCGCUGGAUUUAAACUCUAAUCUGCCUAAGCUACAUGUCUGGAACACGCUUAUCAACCAGGCACCCUCCGUCCUCCUCACCUCAGCUCAAAACUUCUGCUGAGUGUAACAGCACGACAGUUACACACUUUAUGACCUGGAGGACGAGUGUGACGGGGAGAGAAACGUAACCAAACUACCAGCGUGUGUGUAGUGUUAGUGUGUGUGUGUGUGUGUGUGUGUGUGUGUGUGUGUGUGUGUGUGUU